rnacentral:rRNA from 1 species
AAUGAACGCUGGCGGCAGGCCUAACACAUGCAAGUCGAACGAGUGGCGGACGGGUGAGUAAUGUCUGGGAAACUGCCCGAUGGAGGGGGAUAACUACUGGAAACGGUAGCUAAUACCGCAUACUAUCGGAUGUGCCCAUAUGGGAUUAGCUAGUAGGUGGGGUAAAGGCUCACCUAGGCGACGAUCCCUAGCUGGUCUGAGAGGAGGACAAGCAAAACUGGAACUGGGACACGGUCCAGACGCCUACGGGAGGCAGCAGUGGGGAAUAUUGCACAAUGGGCGCAAGCCUGAUGCAGCCAGGCCGCGUGUAUGAAGAAGGCCUUAGGGUUGUAAAGUACUUUCAGCGAGGAGGCGUUAAUCGAAGAAGAAGCACCGGCUAACUCCGUGCCAGCAGCCGCGGUAAUAC